GGAGAGGUGACCGAGUGGCCGAAGGUGCAGCACUGGAAAUGCUGUGUGCGGGUUAAACCCCGCACCGCGGGUUCGAAUCCCGCCCUCUCCGCCA
rnacentral:tRNA from 1 species